rnacentral:rRNA from 1 species
ACGGGUGAGUAACACGUGGGAACGUGCCCUUUGGUUCGGAACAACUCAGGGAAACUUGAGCUAAUACCGGAUAAGCCCUUCGGGGGAAAGAUUUAUCGCCAUUGGAGCGGCCCGCGUAGGAUUAGCUAGUUGGUGGGGUAAAGGCCCACCAAGGCUACGAUCCUUAGCUGGUCUGAGAGGAUGAUCAGCCACAUUGGGACUGAGACACGGCCCAAACUCCUACGGGAGGCAGCAGUGGGGAAUCUUGCGCAAUGGGCGAAAGCCUGACGCAGCCAUGCCGCGUGAAUGAUGAAGGUCUUAGGAUUGUAAAAUUCUUUCACCGGGGACGAUAAUGACGGUACCCGGAGAAGAAGCCCCGGCUAACUUCGUGCCAGCAGCCGCGGUAAUACAAAGGGGGCUAGCGUUGCUCGGAAUUACUGGGCGUAAAGGGAGCGUAGGCGGAUAGUUUAGUCAGAGGUGAAAGCCCAGGGCUCAACCUUGGAAUUGCCUUUGAUACUGGCUAUCUCGAGUACGGACGAGGUAUGUGGAACUCCCAGUGUAGAGGUGAAAUUCGUACA